GUUGGAGACCACAGAAAAAUGGACCAAAUGAUGACCUGAAGGAGAUCUUUGUUGGUACCCUAGCCUGUGCUAUUUUAAAAUUCAGACAACCCUGUACGGUCACAAUGUGCUCCCUUCGAUAUUCACUUCCCAAUACAGAACUGAAGAGCUCGGAAAAUGCUUGCAACAGAUAGGUUUGUACUUAGCCCACCGGGAAGACUCCUGAUAGCAAGACAGGACUUGUGAUAUCCUGGCCACAAUACUAUAUAAGCACUUAGCUAUUUAAAUAUAUAACUUCAUCUCUUCUCUUUAUUCCCUCUCUUCCCCACUAAUUCUUUGCCUCCAAAAAGGAACAAUGGCAAAUCAGAAUAUCACCUCAAUUAAAUUUUAGUCCAACACACAAUUUAUCUUCAACAACCCUAUUCUUUAGACAGCCUUCUUGUGAUGGAUUUGUAAGAAUCAGAAUCUUAUUAGGUGAUUAAAAUGUUCUCUUAUUCCUGUCUCCUUAAUUUUCCUUUCUAUACCUUGUGCUUUGGUGGGCAAUAAAUGGAUUUUGUUCAGGUGGCUAAAUGACUAAAAUAAGGAGGAAGAAGUAAAAUUGCAGGGUAAAUGUUAUUUCUAGGCUGUUCAAUAGAUCAACUGCAGCAAAGGUAUCAAACUCAAGGCUUGCCGGCUUCAAGCAGUCUGCAAAACUCCCUAACAGCUGAUAAAACCAGAUUAAAAUAUAAUUGGGAUUACCAGCUAUGUGAUCCUGGGCAAAUUAAUUAACCUCAAUUUUGGGAGCUACUUAACCUCCACUUAAUCUCAUUCCACAAGGCAUUUAACAAGCACCACUACCCCACCUCCUUAUGCUCUUCCCCUCUCCCAUUCUCUUGCUGUCUUUUUC